ACAAGCGGCGGAGCAUGCGGAUUAAUUCGAUGCAACGCGAAGAACCUUACCAAGGCUUGACAUACACCGGUAACGCCCAGAGAUGGGUGCCCCUUUGUGGUCGGUGGACAGGUGGUGCAUGGUUGUCGUCAGCUCGUGUCGUGAGAUGUUGGGUUAAGUCCCGCAACGAGCGCAACCCUCGUCCUAUGUUGCCAGCGGGUCAUGCCGGGGACUCAUGGGAGACUGCCGGGGUCAACUCGGAGGAAGUGGGAUGACGUCAAAUCAUCAUGCCCCUUAUGUCUUGGGCUUCACGCAUGCUACAAUGGCCGGUACAAAGGGCUGCGAUACCGCGAGGUGGAGCGAAUCCCAGAAAGCCGGUCUCAGUUCGGAUUGGGGUCUGCAACUCGACCCCAUGAAGUCGGAGUCGCUAGUAAUCGCAGAUCAGCAUGCUGCGGUGAAUACGUUCCCGGGUCUU
rnacentral:rRNA from 1 species